AGAACUUAUAAAUUGGAUGGUGAUUGACUACUAAUCCCAGUGAUGACUGAACCUAGUGAUAUUCUGAACAAAAAGAGCUCUUAACCAUGCUUGUAGCUGUUUCCAUCACUUCUCACUGAUUCAGCAAACAUUCUGGGCUUCAGAUUGACAUUCAAACAUAGUCACAAUUCUGGAA